rnacentral:lncRNA from 1 species
GCCAAACCAAGAGCAAAGGAAGAACAAAGGGAGAAAAGAAAAACAAGAACCCUAGGUGGGAAAAUUCAAGGAAAAAAUUGGUGGAUUUUAAGUAAUCAAGCAAUCAAAGGUAAAAUUUCUUGAUUUUGACUUGUGAUCUACCUUUCCCAUGCAUUUCUCCUUAUUUUCCAUGGUUAAAUUACAUGUUUUCAUGAUGAAUUCAUGGCUGGUCAAAAUGGGUAUGGAGAGAGAAAGAUGUUGGAUUGAUUUGAUUUUAAGAUAUGUUAGUGUUUUUAGUUAGUUUAGCAUAUUUAGAAGCAAAACAACAAGAAAAAAAUCCAUUUUCCCCAUGAAUCUUCAUUGGCCGAAUCUUCCUUGAUGUGUGUGGGUGAUGGAUUGUUAUUAUUUCAAGAGAAAUGGCUUAGAAAAUGAUGAAUAAUGGUGAGAAAAUUAAUUAGAAAAAAUCACGGUGUUAGUGCACUGUAAUGGCCGAAUUUUUCCAUGAAGAAAUGGGAGGGUUUUGAUGCUGAAAGUGGUGUUAUUUGAAUAACGUUUGGUGAAUUGAGGUAUUAGAAAAGAAAUGGAGUAAUUUGGGAUUAAAUUGGACGUGUUAGUAAUUUAAUCGGGUGAUAAGACGAAUUAGGCCAAUGCCGAGUUUAGAUAGUUACCAGUGUAUUUUUGCAUUCCCUAUCAUGCAUUAGUACUUUAAAUUAGUUUAAUUUCAAUUUAGUACCAGUGUAGUAAGUUCCUCGAUUUUGUACUGUGUCAAGGUGGUGAGUCCUCCCACAAGGGCAAGGAAAUUGUACUUGAUGAUCGAUAAUCGGAGUACUUUAGAAAUUCGACUUCCGAAAUAGUGAGUAACCUUAUCAACAUUUUAAUUAUCUAAAGUAUGUUUUGAUUCAAUUUUGGUGAAUUUUAUGAAAAUGAGUUCAAAUGGUAAAUUUUAGGUUUUAUAAACAAAAAUGAGUUUAAAUGAAAAUAUUUUAUAAAUUGUCUUGAAACGAAAUAACGAUUUUGAAAAUAGAGUAACUGGAAACCACUGGUAUGUUGUAAAUUUUAUGAUUGGAAAUUGAUGGCUUAUGUUAUAUUGUUAUUGUGCUGGCAUGACUGGUUGGGAUAUGUUUUAUGAAUUGUAUGAAUUAUUUUAUUUUACGCUUGCAGGUUGGGUAGUAAAAUAUUAGCUCUGUCAUGCAGUCAAAAUUUUAUUAUAUGGUGGGUUUAGCUUGCUGCAGUAGGCGGGUUUACGUGGACUAGCCCAUUAGCAGGGCACGAUAAACCCCGUUAUAUUUUACAUCAGUUGGAGACGCGAGUAGGGUAACUCCUGAGGUAUAACUUUUAGAGUUCACUUCACGCCAAACCACCACGUGAGGGGGAACUCGGCCAAUGCCAAGGAACAGCUAUAUUUUUAAAAUAAAAACAUGUUUAUGCGUACGUAACUUUUUAAUAGCCUUGGCGGACUCAGUUGGGAUAGCCCUCGGCCAAGGUAUCCUAGAUAACUGAGUAUGAUAAUAAUUUUUGGCAUGAGCCAAGCUUUUAGGAAAUUCAUAAGCCAUACUGAUUACUUUAUUUGAAUAAAUUGAUUUCAUUUGGUUGAAAUAAGUUGAAAGGUGAUAAAUUACAGUUUGAUGAAAUGGUUUAAUAGUUUCCUUUUACUUGCCUUUAGAUAUUUUAAAUGAUAUUUGUUUACUCACUUGGAUUUUAUAAUUUCACCACCCUUCUUUCCACCCUUUUCAGGCUCAGGAUAGUCGGUAGAUAGCUCAUUUCAUCGAGGAUUACAAUUGGACUGGCAUCCUCAAAAUAUGUAGGUUUAUCUCUCUAGAUACCUUUGGUCGUUCGUGGGCCCAUGUGUCACUGUAAAUUUAAUUUUAUACUUUGGUUAUCUGUAUUACAAUAUAUAUGAAUUUAUUUUGCUUUUUUGCUGUAAAAAUUAACUUGCAGUGUUCUAAAAAUAUUGUUUUAUGAGAAAAUUGAAUAUUUUAUUCUAUAUCUUUAUUAUAUUCAAAUAGUUAUAAUUUCAUUUUAAAUGAAAGUUUUAGACGUUUAAUUUUAUUUUUUAUUAUGAAUUAUGUGUUUUAUACUUACAUACUACAUUUUUAACUAGUUUCGAAACUUUUGAGGAAAAAUGACCAAAAUGCCCCUGUGAGAAAAAAAUCAUUUUUUUCGUGAUUUCAGUUAGAAAUAGCUUAAAUUCUUUUAGAACAUGAUAUUUGGUAACGGUUCCUCACUGAGGAAAAGAGAAAUUGAUAUUAAAGCCUUGCGGGGGUCCGAUUGAUAUUUUGGGUAAUGAGUGUCGAUCGGGACAACGAGACGGUUGUCACUGGCUCGAGGGGAUUACUGGGUCGUGACAAUUAGAGUGGUAUCAGAGCUUUUGGUUUUAAAGAUCAAAGCCUUUGGUUUUAAAGAUCAGAGUACAAAGCUUUUUGUUUUAAAGUUGUUUUAAAAACUACAGUGUCAGUGUGGCCCAAGUUAAGUUAAAUCAGGUUAGGUAGAAUAGAAUACGUGCAUUUGUAUAUAGAAUUUGGAGUUGGUUAGACUCAUUCUGUUUCUUCUUAUAGAUCUUAUGGGAGCUAUAGGAACUUCUGUUUCCAGUAAUCCACUUUCUUGUUAAUGUCAUGUAAAGAUUAUAAGUAGGGCCGUUGUCCGGGUUUAAGAUGCCACUUGUGACAUGAGCCAGUGUUGGAGAGAUCUUAAAACGAAUGCUGCUAAUGAAAGAUUAAUGAAAUGAUAUAUCCCUCAGAUUAUGGAUGGAGAAAUUUGGAGUUGGACUAGUAGGCCAUGAUAAUUUAUUCAUUUGGUGGAGUUAUAAGUGAACUCAUGGUUGUCAAUUGGAAAAAGAUUUGGGGACUAUGGAUUGUAUUGGGGUUAAUAUAAAAGAGCACGUGUGAUAAUGGUAAUAAGGGGCACAAUUUGGAUAGAAUGAAUAGUGAUGAUUGUAAUUCACUUGGAGUGUAUAAAUUAAGCAUUGAGGUAAGAGUAAAUUCAUACUUAUGUGCAUGAAGAUAAGAACACUAUGUUAAUUAAGCAUGUUAUGCCCAUAUAAAAGUGGUGUUGAGAUUUUGAAAUAUUUUAUAUGUUAAUAUGUUUGGAAUAGGUAUAGCAGCUUAGAGGGAACUGGUGUUGAUUUCAAU